UUGCCAGACUCCUACGGGAGGCAGCAGUGGGGAAUAUUGCACAAUGGGGGAAACCCUGAUGCAGCGACGCCGCGUGGGUGAAGAAGCGCCUCGGCGCGUAAAGCCCUGUCAGCAGGGAAGAAAUGACGGUACCUGACUAAGAAGCCCCGGCUAACUACGUGCCAGCAGCCGCGGUAAUACGUAGGGGGCAAGCGUUAUCCGGAUUUACUGGGUGUAAAGGGAGCGUAGACGGUGAAGCAAGUCUGAAGUGAAAGGCGGGGGCUCAACCCCCGGACUGCUUUGGAAACUGUUUGACUGGAGUGCAGGAGAGGUAAGUGGAAUUCCUAGUGUAGCGGUGAAAUGCGUAGAUAUUAGGAGGAACACCAGUGGCGAAGGCGGCUUACUGGACUGUAACUGACGUUGAGGCUCGAAAGCGUGGGGAGCAAACAGGAUUAGAUACCCCGGUA
rnacentral:rRNA from 1 species